CGUGUAGGCGGUCUCGCAAGUCGGAUGUGAAAGCCCUCGGCUUAACCGAGGAAGUGCGUUCGAAACUACGAGACUUGAGUGCCGGAGAGGGUGGCGGAAUUCCCGGUGUAGAGGUGAAAUUCGUAGAUAUCGGGAGGAACACCAGUGGCGAAGGCGGCCACCUGGACGGUAACUGACGCUGAGACGCGAAAGCGUGGGGAGCAAACA
rnacentral:rRNA from 1 species